UAAUUUCAUAUUCUUUCUUGUCAUGGAAAAUACCUCAUGACUGUGCUUCAUCAGAUCUGUUAUAUGGAGAUUCUGAGUUAAAGGAAACAGGACAGCCGGCACAGCAGAGCAGCAAUAUACAACCCAAAUCUUACCCUUAAUGAAUCUAUACAAAAGUUUUGCUGAUUACUUCAUUGAGGUCAGAAUUGGGUCCUCACCUUGGAAUAUUUUUUGGUUUAACAGGGUUGGUCUAGAUUUUCACCAUUAAGAACAGAGCAAGAUAUGAACUGGGAGAGUCUCCCUCCCCAGAUUAGAAAUCUUUCCCUUUUGCCUCCCAAAUUUCAUUCCAAAAUAUUAAGGACCAACGUAAGGGACAAAUAAAACCACCACAAACCAAUAAUUAUUUCACUCAAAUUGACUUUACUCUCAUAAGCUGAAUGUUAUUAUUAUAAAAUGUAUUACAGCAAUACUGAACCAGUAACAAAAUGCUUGAGCAACAGAGCCAGUAGUCGAAGGAGAUGUGUUUGCUUCCCUAGGUGUAGCCAUAAUUGUAAUAAGCCUUUACACUAGAAAAUGUUGAGUGAUGUGUUAGCAUAAAUGUGUCACAUUAUAAAACAUAACAAACUGCUGCUGUUUCUUGCUUAGGUAUGUCUGAGUGAAAUGAGAGCUCAUUUAAGAACCUGUGAAAAAUGUACAGAAAAAUAUGGAUGUGUAGGGGAGCUUGAAGAUGCUGCAACAAGAUAUUCCUGUCCUUUUUGCCAGUGUGAAGUAGAUGAGGCUGAGCUGAUGGACCACUGUCUCACAUGUCAGAGUGGAAAGAGCAGCAGUGGAAAUCGUUGUCCAAAUUGUUGUUAAAUACCUGGGAGAGAUCCACACUGUUUCAGCAGAAAUUUUGUAAGGCGUCUUCAACUCAGACACGCGCCAUUACAAAGACUACAUAGACACAAACACUAUUGGAGAAGUUCUUAUUGAAAGAGUUCUAGAUGGGUCAUUCUUAGAAUAUGUGCACAUGAAUCAUCCAAACAUCACGUAAGAACCACUGCAGAACAGUGGAAGAACAUGUUCUGUAGAUAAACAUGGUCAUUAAAAUUUAGCCUUUUGCAAUUAAUGGAGUGUUAGUAACCUGCAUGGACCUAAUUUUUUUUUCUUACACAUUCUUUGUUAAACUAUUUUUUUUUAAAUUGAAUUUCAGUUUAAUUUAAAAAUGUGUUGUUUGGUGUGGGGAUUUUUUUAAGGAUAAAAGAAAAUAUUGUCAGUUCCUCUGCCUAAAAUGUGAUGGUCUUGAACUAGCUGCAGGUCCCGUAUUGCAGAUACACUGGCUUUGACAACAGCCUUUCCCAUCUGUUCCAGGAGCAGGCCAGUCUUGUGUAUAUUGAUGAUGACAAUGUGAUGCUGGAGUCAGAUGACAAAAACGGCAGCAUUUUGGAUGCUACAGGACCAAACAAAUUGGA